rnacentral:rRNA from 1 species
UACAGAGGGUGCGAGCGUUAAUCGGAUUUACUGGGCGUAAAGGGCGCGUAGGCGGAUGUAUAUGUGUGAUGUGAAAGCCCCGGGCUUAACCUGGGAAGUGCAUCGCAAACUGUAUGUCUAGAGUAGAUGAGAGGGUGAUGGAAUUUCCGGUGUAGCGGUGAAAUGCGUAGAGAUCGGAAGGAACGUCAAUGGCGAAGGCAGUCACCUGGCAUCAUACUGACGCUGAAGCGCGAGAGCGUGGGGAGCGAACAGG